CCUCUUGCUCCCAGCAAACUGCCUGCAAACUGCUUACCCUGUUUGCAGCCCCUGUUUGGUGGCUCCUUGGUCACUGGAUCCUCAGUCUUUCAUCAUUGGCUCCAUGAUUGUUCCCUUAGUUUUAAGGAUGCUUCAUUAAACUCUCCCAUUGCCUGAUUUCUGGUGCAUUUCUUUAGGCACAGAAAACCCCACUUCCAGGUGUUCAAUUCCAUUUUCUGUUGCAUCAAAUCAAGGCUCUGAACUUCUAUAGAUUUUCACAACCACCUCCUUAUCCUGCCAGCUCUUAAAGAACUUAAUGAUCUGGCUCUGAGAGAUUCAAUUAAUUUUUCCAGUAAUCUUUAUCUGAAGAUAUGUUCCAAUAUACCAGACUGGCUACAAAGAACACAUAGCAAUAUAUCUUAUGAUUAAAGCAGUCAUCUUUUGCCAACCUUAUGUAACAGGAUAUUAGCUUACCAUAGAAUCAUGAAUAGGAAAAUGCAUUCCUCUCAGAGCCUACUGCUGCUCCUAUUAAAUUCAGGGGAUGUAACUGUCGACUUCAAAAGAAAAGAAUCAGGUUCUAUAUGUACAAUAAUAUCAAAUUGCAUCUAAUAUUUUAGGGAAAACAAGAAAUUAAUAGUGACUGCCAGAUGAAAUACUGAGAUUUUGGAAGGAAAAUAUAUUUUUAGAUUCAAGUACAAUUAUACUGAAAUUUAAAAUAACAGCUUAAAAGGGACGGAGAGCUGUUGGAUACUUACUUUAAUGAAGUAGCUAUAUUAGUCAUAUUAUCUUACUCUUUCCAGAAAGGAUGCAGAAAACCAUGAGAUGAAAAUAGCCAGGCAGGUGAAGUGUUGUGAUGAGUGCUCCUGACUGACUGAAAACCGCAUACAUCCUUGUUUCAUUACCCCAUCUUCCAGUAGUGUAGAUGCAACACUGGACUCAACAGUGUAUCUAGGGGGCAGGGGGUGGAAUGACACUACCCGCUGCCCCAAAAGGCUUUUCUAUUGGAGACACAUUGGUGCAUCUAGGGGCUGAAGUGGGGAGAGAACAGGGCACCAGGAGGGGUCCCCAGGGAGCCUGCACUGCUGCCUGUUUCUCUAAUGUCCCAGUUCCAUUUAUGUCUAUUUUGCACAUAAAAAAGUCAUAUGAGUAGCUUAUUCUGUGACAGCUCAGACUAAAGGUCAUUGUUAUUGUUCCUUGCUACUAGAUGUUAGAAGAGUGAGAAACUGUUUGUCUUGAUCAAAUGACUACCUCUGGAUAUACUGCAGACAGAUGAUACCUAGCCGAUUUUUCCUUAUACUUCUUAUUUCAGGGAUAAUUCUCCAUUAGAUGGAAUAAAGUUAUUCCUGUUGAGGAGUUUUGUGUCAUUUAUCCACUGCAUUUUUAUACUCAUGUAAUACUGAUUACACAUUAUCAGUCCAGGCACUAAGAUAAUUAGUCUUGUUGGUACAUAAUCAUAGGUAAAUCUGUUUAUGGUAUGAGCAGUAGUACCUGAGUCAGAACAAGACAGUCCUUAGAAUUUUGGGGGCACCAUUGAGGUGAUUCAUUGAGGUCUCCAUUGAUGCUUUGAUUUAUAGCCCAGAUUAAGAUUAAAGGGCAGUUCCUAGUAAAUGUUAACAGGACCAUAAACAACCCAUGGUUGUUAGGAAAAAUUCACCAUGACAGACUUCCAACUCCAGCAGUUAGUUCAUAUUUGCAGAUUACUUUUAAAUGACAAGAUUUUGAAAUUCUAGGUCUGAUCUCAUGUAAAUUAUGCAGAUUCACCAGGCUCUUCCUUUUCAACAGAAAAGGAGUCUGAGGUAAGCUGUGACAUGUUAAAGGUGAUUUCAGUGCAACCCAAUGAGUCCAGUCUGUAGCUCUUACUAACUGUCUGGAUGCUGUUCCCUUUUCUGUCCAUUCUUUUCUACCUCCUUUGGCAAACACAAGCCAGGAACAACUGUGGCCACACAGAGGGAAUUCUAGUCUGUUGUGAGGCUGCCAGACUGAGAUUUUUUUUCCAGGAAUGGCAUUUGUGUCUGGCACAUUGGCUGGUUUCUGAGAACUUUGGUUUGAACGACUGAGGAAUCACUGUUGGAAUCACGACGGAGACGCACACAGACGAAUGGGGGCUGAUGAAAGGGGGAGUGCUUCAUGUGGACUGCUGGAGGGAAAAGCACACUGAUGUUUCUAACACUCAUCUGGCUGGAGGAGAUGCUGGCAUGAAAAAGCUAAGAAACAUUAUAUCAAGAACAAACUAGCAUGGAUUUAUUUAUGCUAAAAUAUGAAGAAAGCAAGACACUGGUUGCUAUGCAAAAGUCAGAGUUUCCAGCACAUACUGCACUGUAGCAUUUUGAAUGCCAGGGUUUUCCUUGUAGAAAACAUAUAAAGAAAUAACUAGGUCCAUGAUGUAGUAACAAUAGUAAACUGGUGAUCAGAUACCAGUGAUCACUGUGAACAUUAAGAUACUAUUAACAUAGAAAAAUUAAACCAUAGUGAACUUAACUAGCGGCAUUAGAUCCUAUGAUUAUGGUUAAAUACAAAGAAUUAAAACUGUGAUUACCAGAAAGCCUGUCUAACUAAAGAAGACCAGGGAUGAAAUAAUUGUCAACCAUUACCUUUAUAGACAGGGUAAUGCCAUUUUCCUUGAUCAGCUGAUAUCUGCUUUGCUCACUUGUCUGAAAGAAAAGAAGAGAUUUUCCAUUAAAUUCCUAAAGCUUAUUACAAUGCAUUUUUAAAUUCUCAUUUUUCUUUAUAUUAAAAAUAUUGUUACUCUGUUGAAUCAUUAUAAGCUGCUAUUACAGUUUCUGAUACUGUUUCCACUCUGGUUAAUCAUAUUUGAGGUCCUAACAGUGAAAUGAAGUACACUGUAGUUGACCCAUUUUUCUAAUAUAUUAUAUACUGACUGAUUCUGACAUAGUGUUCAGCUGUCCAAAAACUAUUUUACCUUACUACUCUAGGUAAUAUGCUGCUAAUUGUCUUUGGAUGCUUAACAUUCUCCAAAUAUGCAUAUUCUCAACAAUGACAACUUGAAUAAAUCUAUAUUACUAGUAGUACCGACAUUAAAUUAGUCUUCCAAGAAUUGAACCUUAUGUACAAUCCCCCACCCUGAAAAACUUCUACUUAAUCCAUUGUCAUCAAGCUAAUUUUAAAUUCAUAUCUUGAUGAAUAAUUAUUAAUUGUGUACAAUUCCCAAAUAUUUGCUAAUGUUGAUAUAGCAAAAGUUUCAACAAAAACAUAAUAAAUCUAAGAAAACA